GAUGAACGCUGGCGGCGUGCCUAAUACAUGCAAGUCGAGCGAACAGACGAGGAGCUUGCUCCUCUGACGUUAGCGGCGGACGGGUGAGUAACACGUGGAUAACCUACCUAUAAGACUGGGAUAACUUCGGGAAACCGGAGCUAAUACCGGAUAAUAUAUUGAACCGCAUGGUUCAAUAGUGAAAGACGGUUUUGCUGUCACUUAUAGAUGGAUCCGCGCCGCAUUAGCUAGUUGGUAAGGUAACGGCUUACCAAGGCAACGAUGCGUAGCCGACCUGAGAGGGUGAUCGGCCACACUGGAACUGAGACACGGUCCAGACUCCUACGGGAGGCAGCAGUAGGGAAUCUUCCGCAAUGGGCGAAAGCUUGACGGAGCAACGCCCCGUGAGUGAUGAAGGUCUUCGGAUCGUAAAACUCUGUUAUUAGGGAAGAACAAAUGUGUAAGUAACUAUGCACGUCUUGACGGUACCUAAUCAGAAAGCCACGGCUAACUACGUG
rnacentral:rRNA from 1 species